rnacentral:misc_RNA from 1 species
AAACAAAAAUAUUGCAGCAUCUAAUGACUGAAAAAAUAUGCGUGCUCCUGCAAAGGAAAAAAUUCCUAAUGCUGCAAAAAUGUUGGAUGCCAGUUAAGCCACAAUGACAUGAAAAAUUUGAUUGCAUAGUGAAGAAAAAAGAGGAAUUCAAUUGGCAACAAUAUCUUUCAUAUCCUACAGACACCCUUAGUUACUUUUUUGUAUGCAAUUGCUAAGCCAAAUUGGGAAAACCUGAAAAAAAGAUUACAAAAAGAAAAGGAAAAAAUUGACACCAAAGAAAAUGGACAUUCAGUUCUACAUUUUAACUUGAAGAGGGCACCACGACAAUGUGCAAGGCAUCCUCAUGGUCACAAUGAAAUUCCACGAUUUCUACUUGCAUCCAAGAAAUCAAAACAUUUGACUGUAAUGCACACAAUCAAAUGGAUGUAAAGUGUCCACAAUGAACUGAAACAAAAUCAAAACAUCUACAGGCAGAAACUAGGAUUUUAAGCUGCCUAUGAAGUUGCAUGAGAUUCUAAAAAAUCUGAAAUUCAUCCAUGUGAUGCCAACAAGGACUGCUUCAACCUAUAAUUUCUCCAUGAGAUGUUCAGCAAGGACUGGAAAGAAAUGUCAAUGUGCUGCGCAUGUGUGCACAAGCACAGUG